GGAUAACUCCGGGAAACCGGGGCUAAUACCGGAUGCUUGUUUGAACCGCAUGGUUCAAACAUAAAAGGUGGCUUCGGCUACCACUUACAGAUGGACCCGCGGCGCAUUAGCUAGUUGGUGAGGUAACGGCUCACCAAGGCAACGAUGCGUAGCCGACCUGAGAGGGUGAUCGGCCACACUGGGACUGAGACACGGCCCAGACUCCUACGGGAGGCAGCAGUAGGGAAUCUUCCGCAAUGGACGAAAGUCUGACGGAGCAACGCCGCGUGAGUGAUGAAGGUUUUCGGAUCGUAAAGCUCUGUUGUUAGGGAAGAACAAGUACCGUUCGAAUAGGGCGGUACCUUGACGGUACCUAACCAGAAAGCCACGGCUAACUACGUGCCAGCAGCCGCGGUAAUACGUAGGUGGCAAGCGUUGUCCGGAAUUAUUGGGCGUAAAGGGCUCGCAGGCGGUUUCUUAAGUCUGAUGUGAAAGCCCCCGGCUCAACCGGGGAGGGUCAUUGGAAACUGGGGAACUUGAGUGCAGAAGAGGAGAGUGGAAUUCCACGUGUAGCGGUGAAAUGCGUAGAGAUGUGGAGGAACACCAGUGGCGAAGGCGACUCUCUGGUCUGUAACUGACGCUGAGGAGCGAAAGCGUGGGGAGCGAACAGGAUUAGAUACCCUGGUAGUCCACGCCGUAAACGAUGAGUGCUAAGUGUUAGGGGGUUUCCGCCCCUUAGUGCUGCAGCUAACGCAUUAAGCACUCCGCCUGGGGAGUACGGUCGCAAGACUGAAACUCAAAGGAAUUGACGGGGGCCCGCACAAGCGGUGGAGCAUGUGGUUUAAUUCGAAGCAACGCGAAGAACCUUACCAGGUCUUGACAUCCUCUGACAAUCCUAGAGAUAGGACGUCCCCUUCGGGGGCAGAGUGACAGGUGGUGCAUGGUUGUCGUCAGCUCGUGUCGUGAGAUGUUGGGUUAAGUCCCGCAACGAGCGCAACCCUUGAUCUUAGUUGCCAGCAUUCAGUUGGGCACUCUAAGGUGACUGCCGGUGACAAACCGGAGGAAGGUGGGGAUGACGUCAAAUCAUCAUGCCCCUUAUGACCUGGGCUACACACGUGCUACAAUGGACAGAACAAAGGGCAGCGAAACCGCGAGGUUAAGCCAAUCCCACAAAUCUGUUCUCAGUUCG
rnacentral:rRNA from 3 species